GGUGCUGUGGCUCAGUGAUAGAACAUCUGUUUCACAUGCAACAGAUCCCAGGUUCAAUCCCCAGCAUCUCCA
rnacentral:tRNA from 1 species